rnacentral:rRNA from 1 species
CCUACGGGUGGCAGCAGUGGGGAAUUUUGGACAAUGGGCGCAAGCCUGAUCCAGCCAUGCCGCGUGUCUGAAGAAGGCCUUCGGGUUGUAAAGGACUUUUGUCCAGGAGCAAGACUUAGAGAUGAAUAGUUUCUAGGGGUGAGAGUACUGGAAGAAUAAGCACCGGCUAACUACGUGCCAGCAGCCGCGGUAAUACGUAGGGUGCGAGCGUUAAUCGGAAUGACUGGGCGUAAAGAGUGCGUAGGCGGUUACGCGAGCUUGAUGUGAAAUCCCCGGGCUUAACCUGGGAAUGGCAUGGAGGACAGCGUAGCUAGAGUCUGUCAGAGGUGGGUAGAAUUCCCUGUGUAGCAGUGAAAUGCGUAGAGAUGGGGAGGAAUACCGAUGGCGAAGGCAGCCUGCUGGGAUAAGACUGACGCUGAGGCACGAAGGCGUGGGGAGCAAACAGGAUUAGAUACCCUUGUAGUC